rnacentral:rRNA from 1 species
GACGAACGCUGGCGGCGUGCUUAACACAUGCAAGUCGAACGGGUCUGCCCUGUUUUUUGCGGGGUGGGUCAGUGGCGAACGGGUGAGUAACACGUGAGUAACCUGCCCCUCACUUCUGGAUAACCGCUUGAAAGGGUGGCUAAUACGGGGUGUUCUGGCUGUGCCGCAUGGUGUGGCUGGGAAAGAUUCACUUUUGUGGUGUUUUGGUGGGGGAUGGGCUCGCGGCGUAUCAGCGUGUUGGUGGGGUGAUGGCCUGCCAAGGCGAUGACGGGUAGCUGGUCUGAGAGGAUGAUCAGCCACACUGGAACUGAGAGACGGUCCAGACUCCUACGGGAGGCGGCAGUUGGGAAUAUUGGACAAUGGGCGCAAGGUUGAUCCAGCCAUACCGCGUGGGUGAAGAAGGCCUUCGGGUUGUAAAGCGCUUUUGUUGGGAAAGAAAAGCAGCAGGUUAAUACCCCGCUGUUCUGACGGUACCCAAAGAAUAAGCACCGGCUAACUUCGUG